GUGGUCUUGUCUUAGAGCUAUUCCUACCUUGGAUUUUGGGGGGUUUUCUUUUUUAAGAUGGCCUUAUUCUCUUCUCCUCUUCAUAUGCCUGGUGCCAUAAGAUCUGGAGCUACCCCUCCUAGAAGGACCCUGCCUUUGGGAGCAUUCAAGGACCAGGCCAGUGCCCUGUGUAGGAGAUGCAUCAAGUGUGUAGCUGGGACCAGAUCUGCUUCAGUCCCUCAGAAGAAAGGUUCUGAGUGCUACUACUCAGAUGGCCAAGACCAUGGUGUGUGCCUUAGGGAAAGGGGACAGUGACACCCUUCCCCUGGCUCCAAACAAGGCCUACAGCUUGUGAAAGGGCUCUGCUCAAGUCCCUGCACCAAUGCAACCUGCCAAGGGAAAGCGCUCACCAUGGUUCUGUCUUGACCUGCCAGUUUGUUUCCUCUGGCCCCAUACUGGGAUCCAUUCCUGGGACAACUAGAAGUGCCAGGGAGUUAAAGCCCCAAGAGCGACCUUCAAGCCAAUAAGAGAUGGAGUUGGAAUGAAAACCUCAGCUUCCUCAUACCUCAGUGGGACAAUCCUGAGAUGUGUUCCUCAAGUCUCUCCAAGGACCUGAUGGGACUGAGUCCUGGUUGCUCAUGAGAGAAACCAGCAGGACUGGAUGUCAGUGAUUGCACCAUGCAGGAUUACAGAUUGUGCUGAGUUUAGAUUUUCUGCCUUCCUCCUCAGUUGUCAGGCUGCUAGCCAGCUCUUCUGCUCCCAUGACACCUGCAUCGAAUGCCUGCCCUUUCCUUACUACAAGACCCUUUCCAGUUCCCAGAUUAGAAUCUGCCACAGGCUAGGAAUCCCACAUCCCAGUAGUGAUUUGGCUCCAAGUGCAAAGGCACCUAGUGUCUGCCUUUUGUUCAGCAGCUUGGUGAUGGACAUAUCCAGGACUCAGAGACCCCUUUCCCUCAGCUCUCUGAGUUGGAAGCUGUCAGGUGCAGAAGGGCAACAUCUUACAUACACAGGGUUUGGGCAGGUCUGGGCAGUGCCUGGUUAAUGUUAAAUAAUGCAGAUAAAGGAAUUGUUGACAUCUGAAAGUCAAUAUGAAAAUUGUAUGCACUGCUGUGACUCAUGCAACUUCACUCCCAGCCCUGGUUCUCAUGAUUCCAGAAGUGGAAAAAAUAAGGCAACUCUUUUCCUCACAAUUCAAAAAAAUACCUAUUGAGCAACAUCAGCUUGGCCCACACAAGACAAUUUUUAUCCCUUCCGUUAGUUAACUUUGCUUUGGCCAAAGGCCAGAAAAACCUCAUUCUUUACAGGCAACCUCAGACCACCAUCCUGGAUCCACUUCAAAAACUAACUGCAGACCUGUGUCUUA
rnacentral:lncRNA from 1 species